GCCACGAGGGAGCGUCCGCGGCCCGCGCAGAGCCGCGCACCAAGCCGAUGGCGGUGGACGCAGCAGGGCCCCGCGGUCUGAGUGCGGGCAGGCGCGCGUGGGCGUGUCUCCCUGGCCCACGCGUGUCCCCGGCAUCAGUGUCUCGGCUCUGGUCCAGGACGAAGACUUCUGAAAGCGAGCCAAGGAGAAUCACAGUUCUUAACGGAGCCCCUGACUGCCCGGUGGAAGGAGGUGAUUUAGAAGACAGUGAGACUCAGCUACUGUUCCCAUCGAGAUGCAAAGGACACAGAGCUCACGGGUGCUCCAGCAAUGCUGGUGUCAUGUUUGGAGGUAGCUGUCUAUGGACUACAGUAUUCUCCCAGUGCUAGUCUGCAGUCACUGCAAAGCCUCCCAAUAGAACAUUUCUUCCUGAGCCAACCUAUCAGUGCAGCUCUGGAAGCAAAUGACCUCUCCUGGCAGAGCCUUCACUGUGUGGGGAACAUCAGAUUUGUGUAAAGAAGAUCACCUGUCUCUUCUCAGGUGUGCACUGUAGAGAAGCUGCUGCGAAGGCCACAGGUCACUCAGGAAAAUUUGGGGCAGUUUUCUAGGUUCAAGGGAGACUGGACAUCAAAGCUGCACUGGGACAUAUGGACGCCUUGAUCCACUUUGGCCAUUCCACCUCAGCUCAGAAUUACUCACUGGUGUCAGCACAGGAUGUUUCUUGGCUUCAAACCAUUUGGAUAAGUGAUGGCAGCAAGCUUCGCCACUGUAAAGUCACCUCUUUGUAAGAAGACAGGAGCUCUUUGUAAAGAAUAUGAGACCUGAGGCUGGGGGAUGGCUGAGAAGGGAAAAGCACCUCUGCACAAGCGUGAGAAAAGGAGUUUGUUCUUCCACAUCCAUGUAGAAAUCUUGAUGCCGUGCCGUGAACCCCAGCUCUCCUACGGGAAGAUGGGAGGCGUAGACAGGAGUUCAUCUGGAAGCUUGAGGCCAGCCACCCAGAUCCUCAGAGCUGCAGACAAAAGAGAGGCCCUGCAGCAAAAGAGUGGAAGGUGAGAACCAACUCCGGAAAGUUGCCCUCUGACCUUUACAAGUGUAUACAUCCACACACAUACAAUAAAAUCAAUUGCUCAAUCACGUACA
rnacentral:lncRNA from 1 species